rnacentral:lncRNA from 1 species
AUGACUUGGAUUGAACAAGAUAAGCUGGGUCAAGCAUUUGAAGACGCUUUUGAGGUACUGAGGCAACAUCCAACUUUAGAUCCUCAGAACUCCCCUGAUGACAAAAAUUACCUGUCUUUCAUUAACUGUUGUCUUCAUAUCAGAGGAAAUUCCAGCUGCUAUGAGUGUUGCCUACGGAGGAACCUGUCUACAAUUGGAGAACUGUAAUAGCAGGACUGUGGACUUCUAUUUUGAAGGAAAUAUUCAUCAACCUCUGCAGAGCAUAACUGAAAACCAGCUGGUACAACCUGCUCUUCUCCAGCAAGAGGAAGAAAAGGCAGGAAGAGGCUCUGGCUAUUGAAUACCUUCACAAAUCCCUGUGUACUGAGAUGGCAUCUUGUAUUCACUGGGAAGAUAAAACCAAAGACACCUUUCAGUUUGUAACAAAAAACCAGGAAACUUCUGAACUUUGGGGGAAGAGAAAAAGCAACCAGAGUACCAUGACUUUCCAGAAAUGGCCAGGGCACUGAGGAGCUGUGGAAGAACUGGGGAAAUCACCGAAACCCAGUACCAUUUCAGUGAGGCCAUUCUCCAAAAACUCUCUCCAUCUUAUUUCUUGGGGAAAGAGUUCUUCUACUUACAAUAUGAUCAACCUGAUUAAGAAUAUAUUGGUUUCUAUAACUGUGAUGCAGAUUAUAACUAUACAAAUGCCAAUUACCAGAAGCUAAGCCACCCUGAU